rnacentral:rRNA from 1 species
AUUGAACGCUGGCGGCAGGCCUAACACAUGCAAGUCGAGCGGAUGAAGGGAGCUUGCUCCUGGAUUCAGCGUCGGACGGGUGAGUAAUGCCUAUGAAUCUGCCUGGUAGUGGGGGAUAACGUCCGUAAACGGGCGCUAAUACCGCCUACGUCCUGUGGGAGAAAGUUGGGGUUCUUCGGACCUCCCGCUAUCCGAUGAUCCUAGGUCGGCUUAGCUAUUUGGUGGGGUAACGGCCUACCAAGGCGACGAUCCGUAACUGGUCGUAGCGGAUGUGCACUAACACUGGAACUGAGAAAAGGUCCAGACUCCUAAGGGAGGAAGAAGUGGGGAAGAUUGGACAAUGGGCGAAAGCCUGAUCCAGACAUGCCGCGUGGGGGAAGAAGGUUUUCGGAUUUUAAAGCACGUUAAGUUGGGAGGAAGGGCAGUAAGUUAAAAACUUGAUGUUUUGACGGUACCAAAAGAAUAAGCAACGGCUAACUUCGUG